UCUAUUUGGGUUGCCUUUGGGGUUCGUUGCUGAUUUUAUUGGUGCAACAAUUGGUGCUACAGCUGCAUUUAUUCUUGGUAGAACAGGUUGUUGAGAUCAUUUGCACUUUGGUCAGGAAAUUAUCUCCUAAUCCUAAUAGUGCUGCUAUAAUGGCCAUGGGUGUUAACAUCUUGGCAAAGAGAUUGAAAUGAUUGGGGUUCUUGAUUGAGUUUCUAUCCCAUGCUGCCAUUGUUGGGUUCAUGGGAGGAGCUGCCAUUACAAUUGCCCUUCAGCAGCUCAAAGGAUUGCUUGGCAUAAAAAAGAAUUUCACAAAGAAGACAGAUAUUGUCUCUGUUUUGCGCACAGUGUUUAAUUCAACCCACCAUGUUGUAAUAUGAUUUCUUAAGCCUAGACUAGUAGACUAAAUAUUGUAAUUACAUUUGAGUAAUUAAUAAAAAUCUAUUUAUGUUA